AUAAUGCAACCUUAUGCAGUUUGUUCCAAAUUUUGAUCCAUUUAGCAAUAUAAAUUACUUCUCAGUUUAUUCCUUAACUGGACUAUAUUUUUCAGAGCCCUAUGAACUGUUUGUCUUGUGAUUUUGUUGCUAAACUCAGGUUCCACUGCUCACUGGUCAAAAUCCAAUGACUGAGACUUAAAUAUAACACAUGACACCUUAAAACUUCUAGAAGAGAACAUAGGCAAAACAUAUUCUGACAUAAAUCAUACCGAUGUUUUCUUAGGUCAGUCUACUAAGGCAAUAGAAAUAAAAGCAAAAAUACACAAAUGGGACCAAAUCAAAUUUAAAAGGUUUUUUCUUUUCUUUUUUUCUUUAAUUCUGGGUUUAUUUCAUCUAACUUGUUCUUUGAAGAAUUCUACUGUUAUACAUCAAUAUACAACAAAAUAAAUUUCUAAUCAUUACAAAUAUUAUAGAGAACUCAGUGUCCCAUCCUGGGUCUCAAGGACCAGGAACAGAUAAAAAAUCUUGUUGACUAGUUGCAUCUGCAAGGAGCAGAUACAAAGACAAUUGGAAAGAUAAGUAUAUAACAAAAAAAAAAUUCAUAUGCUAUUAUUACAGAGCUGCUUAGUUCCUGAUGUAGGUGAUCUUUGUUUCAGAUUUUUUUUUUUUUUUUUUCUUUUUAGGACCCCACCCAGGGCAUAAAGAAAUUCCCAGGAUAGGGGUGAAAUUGGAGCUUUAGCUGCCGAUCUACACCACAGUCACUUGGUGGGAUCUGAGCUGUGUCUGCGACCUACACAGCUCACAGCAACACCAAAUCCCUGACCCACUGAGGAAUCAGGGUCAGAACCUAUAUCCUCAUGGAUACUAGUCAGAUUCAUUUCUGCUAUGCCAUAAUGAGCACUCCCUUGUUUCAGAUUCUUGAAGAGUUGUUUCAGAUUCUUGAAGAGGGUUACACAUUUUCUGAUAUUCUUAAUGAUAUAACUAAAGAAGACCUAAGCUAAUAUAGUAAGCAUGGCCUUAAAUACUUUGUAUAACAGAAAAUGACUUUUUUGGUGGAUUAGGCUUUUAAAGUACAAGCUAGAAAAAGUGCCAGUAACUUUCACUCCUUCACUGAAGUUAGUUCCCUUUCUAUGACUUAGUCAGAAAACAAAAACUACCCAACCUCACUCCAAACUGAGUUUGGAGUUUUCCAAGGUUAAAAUUAGGAAAAAGCCAAGGGUCAGAAGCUAAAUGUCCAAUAGGAAAAGUUAAGGGACUGCCAGUCAGUCCCUGGCUGGGAGUAGAGUGAGGAAAGAUAUGAGAUGCCAGUGUGCUAUAGCCAAGCCCUUCUUUCUUUAAAUUGCACCCUACAUUUUCAUGCCCAUGUCAUCUUUAGCCUGAUAGUCAUAUAGGCUCAAACACAUCAUUAAAGUAAAAAAAUAAUAUAUAUUUUCUUACUUCCCUUCCCCACACUGUAUGAUUUUGAUGUCUCUCUCUCUUUUUUUUUUUUUUUUUUUUUUUUUUUAACGUCUUCAUGCUUAGAUCUGUGUGCUGGCUUAUUUAAGUGACUGCUUUCCAACAUGGUUUCCUCCAUCGUGGUUUGUUUGUUUGUUUGUUUGUUUUUAAUUUAGAGAAGCCCUUUUAGUAUUUCUUUUAGAAUGGGUUUUGUAUUGCUGUACUCUUUUAGCUUUUGUUUGUUGGAGAAAUUCUUUAUUUCCCCUUCUAUUUUAAAUGAUGUUCUUGCUGGAUAGAGUGUUCUUGGUUGCAGAUUUUUACUUUUCAGCACUUUAAAUAUAUCUUGCCACUCCCUUCUGGCCUGUAGUGUUUCUGUAGAGAAAUCAGCUGAUAGACUUAUUGGGGUUCCCUCAUAAUUAAUGCCUUGCUUUUCUCUUGCUGCCUUUAGAAUCCUCUCUUUCUCUUUACCUUUUGCCAUUUUUAUUAUAAUAUGCCUUUGUGGGGGCCGGUUUGGGUUCAACUUGUUUGGGGCCAUCUGUGCUUUCUGUAUCUUGAUACCAGUCUCCUUUAGAUUUGGAAAGUUUUCAGCCAUAAUCUCUUCAAAUAUACGUUAAAUCCCCUUUUCUUUUUCUUCUCCUUCUGGAAGUCCUAUUAUGCAUAGAUCGGCCCUGCCCUUGUCAUCUUAAGUAGCCUGCUCUGCACAUAUCCAUCAGCAUUUCUAUACUUAUCUCUAAGGCCAUGUCUCACUCCUACUAGGGCACAACUGUCACCUCCAUAUGUUAAGAGUAUAUAUUCCUAUGUUAAGUUUUUUUUUUUCCUUAUUAGGACCAUACCUUUGGCAUAUGGAAAUUCCUGGACUAGGGGUUGAAUAGGAGCUGAAGCUGCAGGCCUAUGCCACAGCCAUAGGCCACAGCCAUCUGCAACACCAGAUCCGAGCUGCAUCUGCAACUUACACCACAGCUUGUGGAAAUGCCUGAUACUUAACCCACUGAGUAAGGCCAGGGAUUGAACCCAUAUCCUCACGGACACUAUGUAGAGUUCUUAACCCCUGAACCACAAUAGGAACUUCCUAUUUUAGUUAUGUAUUUAAGACUAGGCAGAUAAUCUAGACAAGUCUAGAAGUAUAUACUAUAUAGCUUUUGCUUUAAGGGCUCCUAAAUUCGUAUUUUAUGAUGUCACUUUAAAGUUAUCUUUUCCUGGAGUUCCCCUUGUGGCUCAGGGGUAACAAAUCCAACUGGUAUCCAUGAGGACAUGGGUUCUAUCCCUGGCCCUGUUCAGUGGGUUAAAGGAUCUGGCAUGGCUGUGGCAUAGGCUGACAGCUGAAGCUCCAAUUCAACCCUUAGCCUGGGAACGUCCAUAUGCCACAGGUGCAGCCCCCCAAAAAAAUAAGUAAAUAAAAUAAAUUUAAAAAAAUAAAAUUAUCUUUUGCUAUAACUCUAAAGGAGACUCCUGUUUGUUUCAUAGUGGUGGACUCCUCUGAAGGCUCUGAACUGCAGUCUCCUAGUGUAGAAGACAGAUUCAGGGGGCCCCAGCAAACUAAAAUUAGGCUUAAUCAGCUAAACCAGGGGACAGAGGGAUCAAAGAGCUGACACCUUUGUUGUUAAGGCUUCUGUUGGCCUCCACAGGAAUAAUGCUGCCUUACCCAAAAGAGAUAUCUUUGUUCAACAAACAAUUAAAGAAUCUGAAGUUUUAAAGAAUUAUGGAAAAUCUUUUUAACCUUUUAUUUAUCAUCACAUUUUAAGGGUGAAUAGAAUUGUAUGUAUGGUGAGAACAGUGAUUGCAAAACCUAGUCUUGACAUCCCAGAGUAUUAUUAAAUUCAUAAAAAUGAAUUUUAAGUUACUUCAAUGAAAAAUCACUAGCUGGAGCUGUGAAAAAAUUGAUGUUUAAUAUUUUAAAAAGGCUGGGAACCACUGUUUUAGAUUAUACAAUUACAUAUAUUGCUAUUAACUGACAUUGAACUUAAAAUUUGAAAAAGAAAAUUUGAUAAGAAUAUGCCUUGAAUUCAAUGUUUGAUAUGAAUAUAAAUAGAAAACUAUUAAGAAAAUAGCUUCAUAUUAAUAUUGAAUAUAAAAAAUGGAGAAAACUAGGAUAUUUGGUUUGUGAAAUAAAGUAGGCUUAUUUAAAAAUGGAAUUGUCCUUCCACCCUCUGCCUCAUUAUAAUUAAAAAUUGUGUUACAUUAAGAAGAAAUGAUGGUUCAGUGUGAAUAGGAUUUAGCACCAACAUGCUCACUAAGGUACACUGCAUUAGCUAUUGGGUACUUAAAGAGACAGGAAAAUAAUCCCUCCACACCAACAAAAAGGUGACAGAGUUGAACAGGCAUUAUAAGGAAUUUUUUCUCCUUUCAGUAACCUAAAAAAUAAUGGUUAAAAUAGUAUACAAUGAAAUCAUAUAGAUUGAUUAAAAAAAAUUUGAAAGAGGGUUAAGCAAAAUAUUAACUAUUUUAGACCUAUGUAAAUCUACAAUAAAAUUUAUUAUAUCCUUAUUAAUUCUUAAGUGUGCAAUAACAUUUUUUAAUCAACAGUUUACAAACCACAUGCAAUUAUACAAUCUUAAUCUACACAUUUUUUUUUCCAUGGGUUUUUCCUCCUUAGCAAAUUUGGUAACACAAAGCAGUCCUCACAGUUGCUGCCACAUAGCCCACUGAAACUGUAACCAGCUCCAGUUAACUGAUGGACUGAUCCACUGGUUUGCACCCUGGAUUUCAAAAGGCAGGUCGUUGCAGUAUAUCUGAUAGCUGAGUUCUUCCAAAAGUGCUUCAGGAUCAGCCGUGGCAAACCGCAGCAUCCUCAAUUUCUUUCCUCACUUCAACAUCAAUUUUGUUUAAUUCUUCAACACUGAUAAGACUGCUGUUCACCAUCCUAUCCUUGAGAACAAUGAUAGGGUCCCUCUUCCUAUUUCCUGAAUUUCUUCUCAGGUACCAUAACUGACACCAGGAUCACUCAUAUGCCCAUGGUAAUGGUAAGUCUGCAGCUCCGUCAGUAUGUUCCCCUUUCCUGAUCUACAAUAGGAAGCUGCAAACCCUGUGGCCUCCCAGACACUCAGGAUAUCCAUUCCAUCUACUCUCAGCCCAGAAUGAAGUUGUCUCUCUUGUAGUAGUCAGUGAUGGCUGCUGCUCUCUCCACAGAUGUUUCCAUCCCACAGUGGUUAUUCUCAAAGUUGAAAACACAAGGUAAUUUCCACAAAGCUGCCAUAUUGUCAGCUUUGUAUACCUGAUCCUCAUUAGCAGUGCCAUUGCCAUACGAAGUCAAACAGACCUCAUUUUUUCCAUUAUACUUAUAGGCCAAAGCAAGCCCAGCCCCCAGAGUCACCUGAGCUCCCAAGAUGCCAUUGCUCCCAUAGAAAUUCUUGGCGUAUAUGUGUAUGGAUCUUUCUUUUCCUUUAGCACAACCUCCUAUUCAUCUUAUAAACUCUGCAAGAAUUUCUUUCACAGAAAGUCCAUGAGUAAAGUGAAAACCAUGAGGCUGUGAUCAGUUGGUCUUUGGAGUCUAUGCUGGCCUUCAUGUCCACACAAGCUUCCUGACCACCACAAAAGUGACAGCAACCACAAAUAAUUUUCUCUUUAUAGAGCUGAUCUGCUUCUAACUCCAUUUGGCAAAUGGUCUGCAGCUUCCUGUAGUAUUUGAGCUUAUCUUCCCUGGUGAGAACCCUAGUGAAGGGAGGGUCCUCUUCCAGCAGGUGAAGAUCACAUGUCUUCAUUUCAAAUGUAGCAUUAUUUGCAAAAUUACAGGAUGCUACCAGCACUCGGCUUGCCAGCUUCUGGGGAACACCCAACAACAUGUAUGAGACUGCCUGAGUAUCUUCCACAGGGAGUGCAAGCAGAGGCAGCAGCUGUGACUCCCAAGACACAAACAAUGCAGCCUGGAUGUCUUCAAGUCUCCUUCCUGAUCAAACUUAUAAGCUAUUGUAUAGAAAACAAAAACAAACAAAAAAAGACAACUUACAGACUGGGAGAAAAUAUUUGUAAGUGAUGUGACAAAAAAGGGCUCAAUUUCCAAAAUAUACAAUCAGCUCAAACAAUUCAAUGACCAAAAAAAAAAAAAAAAAA
rnacentral:lncRNA from 1 species